rnacentral:misc_RNA from 1 species
AAAACAAACUAGCUAAGCUAAAGCUCAUACAUUAUAAGGUUUUUGUUUGUAACGUCUAUGAUUUUGGCUGUUUGGUGGUCUCCCACUUCCUCGCAGAUCAUGUAUAUAGCGAUAAAACUUUGCAGGCCAACCAACACUUUAUUUUUUUAAUCAUUACUAUUCCAUUAUUUCUAUUUUUAUCUUGGUUUCUCUUUCCUUUCUUUCAACAAUACAAGACCUUUCUCAUUCUGGGAUUUCUCAAUCAAGAUGAACGACUUGCUCACGGAUUCAUUUGUUGGUGAUGCCAAAAGACCUCCCAGCAAUAAUGAUAUUGAAAUGGGAAUGCAGCUUCCAAGGAGUAACUCUGAUAUGGGAAUGGACGCUUUCAAUAAGCAGAUACAAGACGUCGAGAAACAGGUUGAUAAGGUCUCUGGACUUCUCAAGAACUUGAAGGAAGCUAAUGAGGAGUCGAAGUCUGUAACAAAAGCAUCUUCCAUGAAAGCUAUCAAGAAGCGUAUGGAGAAAGAUGUUGAUGAAGUGGGUAAGACUGCACGUAUUGUCAAAGCCAAACUAGAAGCAAUAAACAGAGACAAUUUAGCCAAUCGGCAGAAACCUGGAUGCGAAAAGGGAACUGGAGUUGACCGAGCUAGGAUGAACGUUACAAAUGCCUUGAUAAAAAGAUUCAGGGAUUUAAUGACAGAGUUUCAGACCUUAAGACAAAAGAUCCAAGAUGAGUAUCGUGAAGUUGUGGAGAGAAGGGUCAUUACAGUUACAGGAACCAGACCAGAUGAAGAGACAAUUGACCACCUGAUUGAAACUGGAAACAGUGAGCAAAUCUUUCAGAAGGCAAUUCAAGAAAUGGGUCGAGGACAGGUACUAAAUACCCUGGAAGAAAUCCAGGAGAGGCAUGAUGCUGUAAAGGAAAUUGAGAAAAAGCUUCUUGACCUGCACCAGAUUUAUCUUGAUAUGGCUGUUCUUGUCGAGGCCCAAGGAGAGAUCUUAGAUAACAUUGAAAGUCAGGUUGCAAAUGCAGUGAAUCAUGUCCAGUCAGGGACAACUGCUCUUCAAAAUGCAAAGAAACUUCAGAAGAAUUCCCGAAAAUGGAUGUGCAUUGCCAUUAUAAUUCUUUUGCUUAUAGUAGCUGUUAUAGUCAUUGGUGUCGUCCAACCUUGGAAGAAUAGCAAGGGUGCUUGAGUCUGCUGUUUUCGUUGCUUGACCAUCUGUGCCUAUAACCAAUUGAAAUUGUUUGUCCUAUCCGUGUCUUUCUUUUUCUAUUUUCUUUUUAUUUUCAUAAUUCAUUUCUUCCUGCUUCUUGGUGAUGUUUGGCUGCUUGUUGCAAGCAUGAUUUUUGUGUGAAAGACCUUGAUAUAUAUAUACCCAUAAUGUGAAUACUUCCUGGACAUGAAAUGAAGCAUUCUGUUUGCUUUGGUCAUUUUCAUAAUGUGAUCUAAGCUGGUGAUCCA